GAGAAGUUGCAGUCUUUGCCUGGAAGAGGCUCUCACCAGAACCCAAUCCUGCCGGCACCCUGAUCCCAGAUAGCCAGCCUCCAGGACUGGGAGAAAGUCGUGUUGGUUUUAGCCACCCGGUCUAUGAUUUCUGCGGCUUCCUCGGGACCUCUCCUUGUCUCCAGCCUGUGGCACGACAUGCCGCCUCCUCCCGGGAACCAUAACAAGCUAUCUGUCCAAAAGCAAGCAUCUCCUGGUCCGCUGGCCUCACCCUAUGUGAAUAAUAGAAACGCUACAUUUUAAACAAUCAUGCCUUUUUAACCAUGGGAGCAUGAACAGAAGACCAGUGGAGGACUAGGAAAUUCAUCUUAUCUUAAAAGAUGGACCAAACUCUGUUCACCAAACAGUUUUGAUUGAGGAGAAAGGAAGAAGAGGCGAUGUGGCGUGUAUUUCCGCUCUGGGAGAGCGGUCCUGGUCCCGGGGGAGAGGGCGUGGCGAGGGCGCAGCGACUGCCUUCCAGGACCUCAGCGCUAAGGAGCAGCCUCUCCCCCUGCCCAUCCCCACGGCUUCCCAUAUGCUUGGUUCUCCAGUUUUUAACUGUAUUUUGA